AUUGAUUUUAUGCUUGCAUAAAUGAUUUUUGGAUUCGGAGCGAGUGGCGAACUGGUGAGUAACACGUGGGUAACCUGCCCCGAAGCGGGGGAUAACAUUUGGAAACAAGUGCUAAUACCGCAUAAUUAGUUGGAACCGCAUGGUUCCAACUUGAAAGAUGGCUCUGCUAUCACUUUGGGAUGGACCCGCGCCGUAUUAGUUAGUUGGUGAGAUAAAAGCCCACCAAGACGAUGAUACGUAGCCGACCUGAGAGGGUAAUCGGCCACAUUGGGACUGAGACACGGCCCAGACUCCUACGGGAGGCAGCAGUAGGGAAUCUUCCACAAUGGACGAAAGUCUGAUGGAGCAACGCCGCGUGAGUGAUGAAGGUUUUCGGAUCGUAAAACUCUGUUGUUAAAGAAGAACAAGUGUUAGAGUAACUGUUAACACUUUGACGGUAUUUAACCAGAAAGCCACGGCUAACUACGUGCCAGCAGCCGCGGUAAUACGUAGGUGGCAAGCGUUGUCCGGAUUUAUUGGGCGUAAAGCGAGCGCAGGCGGUUUUGUAAGUUUGUUGUGAAAGCCCUCAGCUCAACUGAGGAAGUGCAGUGGAAACUACAAAACUUGAGUACAGAAGAGGAAAGUGGAACUCCAUGUGUAGCGGUGAAAUGCGUAGAUAUAUGGAAGAACACCAGUGGCGAAGGCGGCUUUCUGGUCUGUUACUGACGCUGAGGCUCGAAAGCAUGGGUAGCGAACAGGAUUAGAUACCCUGGUAGUCCAUGCCGUAAACGAUGAAUACUAGGUGUUGGAGGGUUUCCGCCCUUCAGUGCCGCAGCUAACGCAUUAAGUAUUCCGCCUGGGGAGUACGACCGCAAGGUUGAAACUCAAAGGAAUUGACGGGGGCCCGCACAAGUGGUGGAGCAUGUGGUUUAAUUCGAUGCUACGCGAAGAACCUUACCAGCUCUUGACAUCUUCUGCCAACCCAAGAGAUUGGGCGUUCCCUUCGGGGACAGAAUGACAGGUGGUGCAUGGUUGUCGUCAGCUCGUGUCGUGAGAUGUUGGGUUAAGUCCCGCAACGAGCGCAACCCUUAUUAUUAGUUGCCAGCAUUUAGUUGGGCACUCUAGUGAGACUGCCGGUGAUAAA
rnacentral:rRNA from 1 species